GGUGGGUGGGGCGCGGCUCGCUCUCCCCCGCGCACCUGCCCAGGCCAAGAGCCACCCCAGGACCUGGGCGCCGGGGGCGUGGGGCCGGCAGCCCCGAAAGUUAAGCGGGGGGUUGACACGCAGGCUGCCGGGCCGUGGGCAAGAAGCGCAAGGCCCUUCCCACAGCCCUUCCCACAGCCCCGCCAAGGCCCGGUGAGCCUUGAAGAGCGCAGAACCGAGCGGGUCCUCUCUCCGGGAAGCAAAAACAAAGCCCUUACACACUUGAAUCUGUUGGCGGGCGUCGUGGAACCCCAUAUCGAGCUCCAUUCGAGGGCAGAACUUUCUAGAAGUUGUGGCCGAACUGGAUUCCGGACACAGCCUGGGUUCUAACCCUGGUUCUCCCGUGUCCUUGCUGCCGACCGUGGUCCGGUAACUUAACCUCUCUGUACCUUAGUUUCCUCAUCUGUUAUAUGGGGAAAUAGGCCGCCCCUACCAAAUGGGGUUAUGGCACACUUGUGAAGCACCGGAAAGCAGCCUGCCCCGUCUUAAGCCCUCAAUACACUGGUCUGGAACCUAACCCGCAACAUCUCUGGGGUGCACACCUGUACAGUGAAAAGAGAGUGUCUGACCUCCAGACAUGGAUAUGUUAAAUGAAGUGCUGAACAGUGACAGGAUGGUGGCCCUUCUUUCAGGAGACCAUCUGCAGAUAAAGAGUUUUAAGGGAAAGAGAAGCACCAAAAGAGAGGAGGGGACAGACAUCCCCAGUCAGCAAGCGUGUCUCAUGCCCAGGCCAAACAUUAGCAGCUUGCUUCAAAACAACAUACAUUGGAAUGUUCCAACCUCUCCUGGACUGGCCUGGGAUCAGGUGGAUAUUUUGGACAUUUUGGAAGACUCCUUAAUCUUCUCCCCUAGGGAGUUAAACUCAAAAGCCUAUGAAGCCGGGCUGAAGCAGGGCUUCAGCAAAGAGUUGCAAGCAGGCCCCUGUGCUGUGCUGUGCUGUGCUUGCUUCUUCCCCUCUUCUCUGGCUGAUGGAGAACUGUGGCAUCUGGAAGAGGAUACCAGGCUGAACCACCGACUCUUAACUCUGAUCAAGUUACUACACCUCUUGCCUGGGUUCUUCAUUUAUUAAAAUCUUUAUUUGAGAGAGAGAGAGAGAGAGAGCAAGAGAGAGAGCAUGGGGUGGGAGGAGCAGAGGGAGAAGCAGGCUCCUCACUGAGUAGGGAGCCCAACGUAAGGCUCGAUCCCAGGACCCUGGGAUCAUGACUGAGCUGAAAGCAGAUGCCUAACCUACCGAGCCACCCAGGCACCCCUGGGUUCCUCACCUAUAAAAGAAGAUGACAGGAUCACCUGCUUUCGUAGGGAGCUUGUAAGGAUUAAAUGAGCUGAUAUAUAGGAAAAACUUACCAAGAUGCUUGGUGCUAGUUCUCAGUAGUCAUUGGUUAUCGUUUGGGCUGAUUAUGAACUUUGCACAGUAUAAGAAGCAAGGAAUUAUAAGCCAGAAAUUGCAGCUUUCUGUCUAGGCUCUCUCUGCUGUUAAUGGUGUCUUUUGAGCUCUCUGGACCCAAGUUACUUACUCUGUGAAGUGAGGGAGGGCUCAUUUUUCCACCCUUGUGAACUUAAUCUUGACGCCACUCAAGAGGUUUCCCCAUUGUUCUCAAGCCCAAAUCUUGAGCAUUUUUUGCUCUCCAUUUUCUUUUCCAAAAUCUCAGCAAAUCCUGAUGUGUUUUUUUUUUUUUGGUUUGGGGUUUUUUUGUUUUUAACCCAAUGACAGCCUUAGAUUCAAUUCUUCCUAUUCUCAGCUCUGGCUCUUGCUCUCCUG
ensembl:lncRNA